rnacentral:rRNA from 1 species
CAAUAGCGUAUAUUAAAGUUGUUGCAGUUAAAAGCUCGUAGUUGGAUUUCUGGCUCGCUGCGCCUGGCCCGCCCGCGUUAGCGGUGUGAGUGCCGGUUGCGCGGUAGCCAUCCUUCUGGAGAACGGGCCUGCCCUUCAUUGGGUGGGGUCCGCGACCCAGAUCGUUUACUUUGAAAAAUUAGAGUGUUCAAAGCAGGCAAUCGCUUGAAUACAUUAGCAUGGAAUAAUAGAAUAGGACUUUGGUUCUAUUUUGUUGGUUUCUAGGACCGAAGUAAUGAUUAAUAGGGACAGUUGGGGGCAUUAGUAUUUAAUUGUCAGAGGUGAAAUUCUUGGAUUUAUGAAAGACUAACUACUGCGAAAGCAUUUGCCAAGGAUGUUUUCAUUAAUCAAGAACGAAAGUUAGGGGAUCGAAGACGAUUAGAUACCAU